rnacentral:tRNA from 1 species
UAUUUUGUAGUCUACUUGGUUAGGAUACUUGGCUCUCACCCGAGAGACCCGGUUCAAAUCCCGGCAACGGAAUAA